rnacentral:rRNA from 1 species
AACCAACAAAGUUAACUCAUAUUUAUAACGGUAAAAACACAGUUAAAUAACUAUAAGAAGUUUAUUUAAUGUUUAUAAAAAGGUAGAAUUUGAAUAAAAACACAUAAUCCUAUUAUAACUUAUGUAUUGAAGCUGUGACAGCCUUGAGGGAAACUGGGAUUAGAUACCCCAUUAUUCUUGGUCACAAAUUAAAUAUAUUUACCACAGUACUAUGAACCAUAAAAGUUUAAAACUCUUAGAGCUUGGCGGUGUUUUAGACCUUUCAGGGGAACCUGUCUCAUAAUCGACAAUCCACGUUAUACCUAACCUUUUUUUGCUCUCAGUUUGUAUACCGUCGUCGUCAGGUAACUUUUAAAAAUUUAAAAGUUAGCAUUAAAAACUAUAUAAGUUUAAACGUCAGAUCAAGGUGCAGCCUAUAUAAAGGUGAGGAUGGGUUACAAUUAUUAAAUUAUAAUUACGAACUAAUUGUUUGAAUAAACAAUAAUAAAGGAGGACUUGAAAGUAAAUUGAAU